rnacentral:tRNA from 2 species
GGGCCGGUAGCUCAGCGGUAGAGCAGUUGACUCUUAAUCAAUUGGUCGUGGGUUCGAUUCCCACCCGGCCCACCA